CCGAAGCUCCUACCUUGUCUGAGGUAACAGAGGGUGUGACGCCCGAAAGGUACUGUCAAACGUCAGUCGGAUUUUAUUUUCCACAAUAUUCAGUAAUGAGCUGAUUUAGCAGCUGCUCCUAGUCGGAAAAACAGCUCGAAAAACCUGCCAGAAAACUCAGACAUCAUGUUUAAUAAGGUGCUUUUUUUAAGGGACUUGUCAGAUGAUAGUAAACUGCUGCACUUCAACAGAAAGAUGUGGACUGUGAACGUGACUCACAGAAGAUCGGCCGAGAUUAGUUGGUGAGGAGGAGGUUUUAAUAUCAUACCCUGGUGCCAAGAAACAACACACAAGGAAGGAAGGAAGGAAGGAACUUUAUUGUCCUAUCACCAGAGGUGAUACGAAAUUAGUUUGUACAACCCGUUCCAAGAAUACAUGAAUAGACAAUAAAACAAUACAAAUAAAUUGACAAGGGGAGUCAAUCUCAUACCAAUCCAAACAUCAGGCACGAGUCGCCUUCAGCAGGUGCUUUACCGUAGCAAUAUCAGGUGUUUUCAUAGUCAUGGCUGGGUGCAACUGCACUUAAACCUGUGAACUCACAGUUUAACCAAAUCUCUGCACCAACCAAUGAGGGGGGAAAAAAGGAUUAUCACCAGCAGCAGGUUGGUGUUGUAGACCUAAAACAGGUAGAACUUGUAUGGUUGCCAGUGUUGAAAGACAAGAAUCUUUAUGUUUGUCCUGUACUAGCAAUCUACAGCUUAAAGAGUUAAGGUGUUAGGUUGCGACAGGAGAGCGCUGAUGAAUGCACAAUUAACUUGGAGGCUGGCCUCCUUGUUUAAAUGGAGGCCCCAACAAAGAGAGGAGUUGCUUUGUUGGCGACAGGAAGGCAAGCUGAAACACUGGCCUCAGUGUAAUGGCAGAAGGGUGCGAGGACGCGGAGGAGAUGGAGGGAGGCACAGCCAAAAUACUGUGGUGGCAUAAGGGGAGGAGUAGUGCUAUAAACAAAUACAUCACAGCAUUUUAGAAGAGUAGCAGCGGGAGGAAGAGGAGAAGACAAGGAGGAUGGAGAGGACUUCAGGCCAGAAGUUGACGAGGAAGACCGGCAGCAAGGGAAGUUCAAAUGUAGAAAUACUGUGGACUGUGGCGGAUGAAAUGCAGCAUCUUCUGACUUCAAAAAAAAGAAAAAAAAAGAAGUUGGCCUUGGGGAUGAGGUGAUUGUUACAGCACAGUUAAUGUUGUCUCAGAAGAAGAUCGUGGCCCUGAUGAGACACACAUGGACAGACGCGGAGGAAACCAAAUUAAAGACUCUCGGGGACAUAAACGCCCCCGCUGCCAGGGUGAUGAGAGAACACGAGGAGAAAAAUGGAAAACAAAAUAAAUAAAAAAGACAAAAAGCAAUUUGAGGACAUCUGGUGGACAAAUAGUGAAUGACAGACGACUGAGAAGAACCCGGGUGUAAAUUCAAGUGCACCUAGGAUUUAUAAUCUAAUAUAUUAUUCGUUAGAUAAAAUCCCAAGAAACGUUUAGCCACAUAAAUAAAAGACCCACCAGCUCAGGUCUUCAGUGUCACACUGUUCGUUUAGUCCUGUGUUUUUAUUCCAUCCAACUUGAAACCUUAGGUGUCAUAGCUUCAAAUCUGUGUUCAAACAUAGGGACGUUGAAGUUCCCCAGCAAAACAAUAGAUUUUAUAGUUGGGGCAUUUUUUCGACAGAGGCCUUCUUAGAGAAUCCAGAAAAAGCCAGUUCUGACCAUGCUGAUUGGACGAUACCACUUGGUUUUAUAAGAGUCUGUAGGCUGGAAGUUAAGGAGAGUUUGUCCAGUGAGAGAAGUUAGCGAGAGCGGGAGGUUAUAUGAGGUGAGAGUCCCUGAAGACUGAAAGGUGUAAGAAAAGAAAAACAGUGACAGAAUGUUGAGAAAAUCCCGAGGAACUUAAACGCAGACCCAGAGGAAGUGGAGGGA